AAAAGAAAAAGAAAGAAAGAAAGAAAGAAAGAAAGAAAGAAAGAAAGAAAGAAAGAUAUUCAUAAUUGUUCUACUGUCCUGUGUUAAUGUUGUUUUGUGAUCCAGCACAUGAAUGUUUUACAUUUUUUGUUUGACAAGUACUAGUUGUUAACCUAAAGAGGAGGAGAUGUGGUAUCACAGCUAAUCAUUUGAUGUUUGCAUACUUAAUAUUGACAUGGAUUACAGUGAUACUCCCUGCAGAGAGCAUCUUGUGUUAUGUUAAAGUAUUUAUAAGGGUCCAGCAGAGGGUGGACUGAGACCAUUUAAGAGGGCAAGGUUCAUGUUAUGCUUGCAGUAGAAAUAGAAGGCUGACAGCACGUAGCCAGAGUUGUACAUGUGACAUGCUGCAAGUGGUUCAGUAAAAGACCUUUUGGAAAGACCGUUCCCGUGUGGACAGUGGAUUAUUUAUGAAGAUACAACACUUACCUUGCCAUGUCUCCAAAGCCAUCACUCUCAACCACACUGUAAGGUCGUAAGUCCUUCGCAAUAAAACGGGCUAUAGAUACAGAUACCUUGGACCUUGCCAAGUUGUGGCUAAAAUGUGGUUGGAAAAAGUCUUUAAUUGCCAUGUUGUUGUCUUGUGUGUUCUUGCUUGUAUUAGCUGUAACGUUACUAAUGCUAGCAUCCACAGACUCCUCGUCACCCACGUAGUUUUCUCCAUGCCGUCUCACCAGGUGAGCUACCGCUGUACUUAAUAGUUGUUCUACAGACCUUACACACUUUUGUCCAAAUGCCUUCUUAUAAAAUCCAAUUCUCUUCCAAACUUUAGAUUUCAGAUUAGCUGGUGCACUGUAAAUGUGGUGGUGUUGGAGUUGUUGGACAUGUUGUUGUUGUUGUUCUUGUGUUUUUUUCCCUCGGAUACGCUAACGUUACUCUUGCGAGAAUCUCAUGUUGGCCCUUUAUUACUCUUGCCAGUAUCUCGCGUUGACCUUUUAUUAUUCUUGCAAGAAUCUCACGUUGACCUGUAACCUUUUACAAGAGUUCAGAGAUGCUCUGCAGAAGCAGCAAAGCUUCAGUCAACAGAUACAUAACUAGAAUUGAGCCACUGACCAGUUAAUGGUAAAUUUAAAUUGAUGUAGUCGCAUCUUUAACGUUAAAACCGGUUACCGAUUCAUAUCGGUGAAUCUAUACACCCCUAAUUUAAACACAUUAUUGAUUGGACCACAUCACAUAGCCAAUCUGACAUUCCAUAGUAAGCAGAUGUAUUUUAAUAACAUUAAUGAUAGCUCCAUACCAUGUAGUAGUGACUCAUACUUGUCAGAACCAUCUGAACCAUCAGAACAGACUGCUCUUGCAUCAGAGAAGGAUCAUGAGACCAUGCUUCUAGAAAUGCAAAAGAGAUUAAGAUUUACAGCUCCUGGAUAAACUGAUGACUGCAACAUUCUCAUGGUGACAAAAAGAGAUCAUCAGCGAUGAGCCACCCGUGUCUGCAAUCAUGGACAGAUGGCCUACAUUGUUUAGUAAGAGACAGGUAAUCAACUUCAGCAUAGAAAUACUGUAUUUUUUUAGUAAAGCAUUGCUGUAAUCAGAAUAUACUCUUUGUUACAGUUAUAUUUGUGAUUUCUUGUGUUUCCACCCCUACUCUGAAAUUCAAUACUUCUGUUUUUGUAACUCAUUUUCUGUCACUAAUGUCCUUUUGCAUGCUAUUUUGUCAUCUGUAUGUUUCAGCUAAGUGCCAAAUUCAGUAGACUUGUCACUUAAGACCUGCUGGAAUCAUUUGUGGGUGGACUAGAUGCCUUGGUGCCCAGGCUUUUGGCACUGUACAAAGAUGCUGCAUAAAAAGUUCGACCCUGAGCAGUGAUUUGAGUGUCUUCAAAAGGAGGUAUUAAUUGUGUGGAAAAACCUCUAAUGUGUAUGUAUUUGGGUAAUGCAGUCACCUACUCUUGCCUGUUUUUGUUUUUCUGUAGGGCACAAAACAGAACAGAAGAUCAGGGGGGUAUUCCAGAAUGCGGGUUUUGUUAGCCCUGAGAUGAGAAAAACUCUGAGUUUUCAGUUCCAGAAAGAGAGGUAACUUAAACUCUGGGUCUGUUACUGCAGUAACUUACUCUGUGAACAUAACCUGCUCACUGGCAGGUUUAUCUGAAGAAACCCUGAGUCUCACGGAGCUGUCUGACAGCGGCUGUCCUUUCCUUCCCAAUCAUGUUGAAGCAGAAAUAAUUCACAUUCAUUUAGAUGAGCUCUCACUUCCUAAUGAGGACUGAACCGAACAGCAGUCUAUCAUUUAUAUUCUCCGGCCGCACAGCGAAUAUCAGGCUACAUGUCAUCGCUGACGUGCUCUCAGAUCUGAACAAUCCUCUUUGUUUAAUAAAUAAAUAAAUAAAUAAUCACUUUGCAGGUUAAUCAAUCACCUUCCAGCAGCCAGAAAAAGAGAAUUAACUCACAUUUAAUUUGGCUUUCUUUAUUUCCCACAGAUAGCUACAAAAGUAACCAUCAGUAUAGCCUAUUGUAUUUUUUCCAACGUAAUUUCAAAGUCUGUGUUUCUAGUUUACUGCCGCAUUGAGUAUAAGAUUAAAUGACUUCUAGUUCAAUCUGUAGACAGUCAGUGUUUGUCUGUCUCUUAUGUUGGGUCCUGGAGGUGAGUGACGCCCUCAGCCUCUGGUUACUCAGCAACCUGACUCAGGACGAGCUCCUCAACUACUAAGCAGGAUGCUAGGGGACAGAUGUGUGUUAAACAUUACAUGUUGGUGGUAAAAGCUACUACAAGUUAAAAUAUCCACUGAAUAAAGUUUUACUAUGUUUAAUAUGUGAAAUAAAAUCAAAGCAAGGAGCCAUUGCGAGACUGUUUUUAUAUUACUUUUUCAGCUGAAUUCAAUUAAAUAAAAUAGCCUAAAAUAAAAUAAAACAAAACACAGAACAACAUUCAACCAUUUCCUUAAGGAUUAAUAUAAAUAAAAGUGAUGUUAAAUCCAAAAUGAAAAGACAACUGCAUCUACAACUCUGUCAGUGAUUUUUAUUAUGGACACAGCUGUGUUACUUUUUUUUCCCUAGAAAAUGUCUGUUUCCUGUUUUCGCCCCUGUUGCCAUGGUGAAUCACAGUAUCGGAGAUCCAUUGAUGAUGGCUUUUUACUAGUUGUCAGGCACGAGCUCAACUCAGAGUUAACAUACUCAGAGUCGACUUACCUAACUCAGAUCAGCUGUUCUGGAACUGAAAACUCAGAAUUUCACUUCACAGGGUAAGUCAACUCAGAGUUCAGGGUUAGACUCAGAGUUUGUUGAACCUGCUUUCUGGAAUACCCCCCAGCUGCCUCGAUUUGUCUUUCACAUCAUCUUUCAGACGAGUCCUCUUAACAUAAUCAGGAAGUGUGAUAUAAGACACUUUAUUUACACUACAUUUCAUACUACACUUCUUUUAAGCUGAAAUGUGAAUAAUGUAAAUAAUUGUAUGGUCAUCACAGGUGUUGCCUAACUGAAGCCACACUCCUGUUUAUGUAAACUGUGUAAACAUUCUUACUAUUGGAUGAGAUAGUUAUGGCAGUGCUAACUGAAGAGCAGCAGUGUUGGCAAUAGCAAAAGUAGUAUGAGCACUGUAUUACUUCCACAACAACAUUGUACCACAACCAGUCCUCUCACUCAUACACAUGCCUAUUCUCAAGCAAAACUCUUGACACAUUAGCUGCAGAGUUAUAUUAUUUAUACAUAACAGAGAACUUUAUUUACUUGGCAAUUUGGGGAGUGUAAUUUACAUGAAAUGUGUUUGAAAUUAGUUCUAAGUUAACAUUUUGCAGUCUAUUUAUUAGAAUGCCAGUGAUAGUUUAAACUUAGAGAUGUUAAAUGUAUAUUAGUUGUGCAUUGUAUGUCUUCAUAUGUCUUUAGGCACAUGGAGAAACCCUUUGACAUGAUGAUGAAAGGAAUGCAAGUUGGACUGUUGGACACAAAGGCCCCCUGCAUGAUGCAUUUUCUUUGGAAAUCUUUAAUUUGGCUGUGGUUGUAGAGGUGAAGAUCAUCCUGCAUGAUCUGAGAGAUGUCUCCACAGGCUUUGCCAUGUUAAUGGGCGCAAACUACUGCCUGAACCUUGUAAACCCCUUCCUUCAGAAGUGAAAACCUUAACUGUUUUCAACUGAAGAAACAUUGAGUUGGAAGUUAUAGUUUUAUGAAGCUACAAGAUUCCACAUUUUGUCUCAUGUUCAGUUACCAAAUUAACACAUUGCUGUGUGAGUGGUUAUGCUGUACAUCUUUCUAGUUGAUACUGAUAUUUUAUGAAUCUAUUAUUUCAUAUUUUGCCACAAUAUACAACUCCUGCCUAUCUGUCGUCCUUUCUGUACCAAACCCAGUUAUCAGCAUCUGUGAGGCCCAUGGUUUUUUAUAUAACUGUUCUGGUUAGGGCACGUUUAAAAAGCACUAGCGUGCAAAAUAAUUGUCGUUGUGUCAAGAUAUUUAUGAGCCGGUUAUCACUGUCUGACAUGUGCCUCACUGUACAGCUCCACACCACCUUUGUCUGUCUCUUUCUCUCUUUCUACAGCUACAUCUUUUGUUUCUGUCUACAACAUUGUGUAGGGGAAACACUGUAAAUCCAAACAAAGUCCUGACUAAAGAUGAAAUAGUGCAUUUAACUUAAUUCAUACUAGUUUUUUAAGUUUACUUUCUUACACCGAGUUUUCUGCACUUUUUACCUGCAUAUUUGUUUUCAUUACGUUAUAUGACCUUGAUUUUUCUGAGUGAGUGACGUGGUUUGUGGUAUGAGACUUAAGUUACAGAGCUGCGCAUCUCAGUGCGCAUGUCCAUUUCCGGUUAGCGCGCAUCUACCACUGAAAGUAAACUCAAGCAAGCGGUCAACGCCAUUACUGUCACGGAACGUAGGCUCCAGCAUUGGUUUCGGUGGUGUAAGACCCUACAUACUAAAACCAACAAACCAACACAGAAGAAAGGAGACAAUCCUACCUUAGGUGGUGUCUCUGGCAGUGAAGUUGGUGGCAGUUAGAAAAAAGGCUCCCUCGGUCACUAAGACUGUGUUGGCCACCAGGGUACCAGAUAACCAUCUUACCCAGCCAGACCAGUUCAGCAGCCGUGGCUAUUUCGUCUCACUGUACCUGCUCCCUCACUGCUGCUUCGUUGACAAGAAGCUUUCUCAGUAGACUGGACCACAAUCCUUUCCGGACUAUGGAACAGAAAUAGCCAAUCAGAGUCGUUGUCACUGAUUGUGAAAUUAGAAGAAUCAGUCUUGAUCAGAAACCAGGCAACCUUGAGUCUCUUUUGGAACUCUUGAAAGUUAAACUGGCACUGCCAUAUGAUUUCAAACUACAGUUUGAAGACCUACUGUUUAACAAUGCACUCUGCAAUCUGACAGAUGUGUCAGAACUGCCAGAUCGAGCCACGCUGAAAAUUAUAAGUCUUGAGUCCCUCCCUUCCUCACAGAGCACAUCUGAUAAAGAGAUACUGUAUAUAAGUGAAGAAAAAUCCCAGUUGAUGAGGCCGGAUCCUUGGCCAUUUGCAUUUGAUAUUCCAGAAUUCUUUGUGGAUGUAAAUUUCCAACUGAGCCAAGGAGACCUUGCCUAUAUGAAGGAUGGAACUCGGAUGGAUGUUUCUCAGGACAUGAAACACGUGAUCUUAGAAAGACUUGCAGAGGCCAUGUACAAGUACACAGCAUAUCCCACAGAGGAACACUGUCAAGAAGUGGCCUCUGCACUGAUUGCAAAACAUCCCUGUCCGAAAGAAGUUGGAUCACCCACUGGAUACUGUGGAUGGAAAAAUAGCAUUAAUUUUAAGAUGGGGAAUUUCCGUACGAAAAUGAGGAGAUCUGGAGUGGCCAAUGUCACGGUGAAUGGCAACAAGAGGACUAGGGAUUUCCCUGAAGGAGCGCCAUCAUGUAGUAACCUAAAAAGGCCAAAAAGACGAGAGACAAAUUUCUUGCCAAAUUUUCCUGAUGGUGAAAAAGCAGAUACUCUUGAGUCUGUUAGAAGACAUCUUGAAAGUGAAGCAAAGAAAAGGCUUCCGGACUCAGCCAAUGUGAAGAAAAUGAUGGACCAGAAAUUUUCUUUUGGGCGUAAAGAAAUCGUGGAAGAACAGCCUACAGUUAAAAGGAUGAUGGAACGCUGGACUGCCCUGUUCACAGAAAGUCAGGAUUCGGACACUGCAGAUAACUUCACCCAGGUGCCUGUUGGGGUUCUUACAGUCACGACUGAGGACACGCCACCAGAGAUUAACAGCAUUACAAUCAUUCUUGAAGGAAACAUUGUCAUGGAUGAGAUUCCCCCAACCUCUCAAGCACUUUUUCUUCUGUUCAGCUUAAUAUAUGCACUCCAUCUGGAUUACCCAAAAGGCACUUGGUGCCCUACGCGCUGUGCGUAAUGUGCUUGUGCGGAGCUACGGCGCUGCCGCCGGACAACAAACUGUGGCGCAACUGUACAUGUUCGAGCCGGAGUCCGACCCAGAACAACAAGAGGCUCCAGAAGAAGUUCAGCAGCCAAGAAGGAACAUGGAUGUUUCUCAGUGAUCACAACCCCCUUCUCCUGCCUCGAGUGUUUACAUAACAAAGCCAAACCUCAACUGGCGUUUACUGCUCUGAAGUUGCAGUAACCCCCGCGACCCUGCAGAGGAUUAAGCGGCGUACAUCGAAUAUGUACAGAUGAUGGAUGGAUGGAUGGAUGGAAGUUGCAGUAACGCGGAUGCAAUUUAGCAACUGCCGUUACGAGAGAAAGGCGUAACCCCGUAUUAUUAUUUACCUUUAUGUGGCCAGGUAAGUCAAUUGAGAACCUGCUCUUAUUUGCAGGGACGACCUGUAAUUAGCUAGCAAUGUCCAACAACUGUAGUUUUCAAUAAGCCACAGUUGCCUCCCGUCACCUCUCUACCAGCAGUAUUGUUUUUGAACUGGUUCCAACAGUUUAUAUACUUUAAAUAUUACAAAAGAAACAAUGCAAUGUGAUUGGUUGGCUAUGUAGUUUCCAAUGAAUGAUAUAAAUUCUGCUUAAAAACAGGUGUUCCUGUGGCAGUUGUGAACAAGUGCCUACAGAGCCCGAGAAUAUCUGUUGUAUUGAAAUACCACAGGUAAGUGUGAACACUGGGCAAACAAGGUUGUUAUUUUGCAGUCUCUUUUCUUUAAUCCAUUGUCACUCACUUACCUUUCAUAACUUCUAGGUUACACAAAGACUAAGUUACAGCAGCUUCCUGAGCAACCAUCAUGCAUGCUGGACCAUCCUGGCCUAGAACCUGUCUGCCUGAACGUGUUUUCACUGCACAAUGCACUGAACAUUUAUCGGGCAGACUACGGACCUUUACGUCUGAGGGGAAUAGUGCACCAACAUAGAUACCUAGCCUACAGAAGCUUUGUAAGCUGGUGCUGGUGCUUUCUGGGGCGGAGAGUGAGAGCUGUGCUGCCUGCCUGUGUGGUGCUGAGGAUUCAUGCAGAGUUCCCUGACGCUGCA